rnacentral:misc_RNA from 1 species
GAUGAAGAACGCAGCGAAAUGCGAUAAGUAAUGUGAAUGGCAGAAUUCAGUGAAUCAUCGAAUCUUUGAACGCACAUUGCGCCCCUUGGUAUUCCGAGAGGCAUGCCUGUUCGAGCGUCAUUAUAACCCCUCAAGCUCAGCUUGGUGUUGGGGCCUGCUGCACUGGCAGCCCUUAAAAUCAGUGGCGGCGCCAUCUGGCUCUAAGCGUAGUAAUUCUUCUCGCUAUGGAGUCCUGGUGGAUGCUUGCCAUCAACCCCCAAUUUUUCUAUGGUUGACCUCGGAUCAGGUAGGGAUACCCGCUGAACUUAAGCAUAUCAAUAAGCGGAGGA